AUGGCGUCCGUUGCUUCUUUUCUUACUUUAUUUUGUUUAUUAUUAUUUCGCGUCGUCGAUUUUUCACGUCGCCUGUGCACACGACAAGAACCAGAACGGCAAAGAAGAAGUGAAAAGAAAACUCACAGAAGGAUGAACACCGAAGAGCACGACUGUAUAUUUUUUUCCCAAGAUAUGAUGGGCAGUGGUGUGUUGGAUUGCAUUGCAUUGAUGGCAUGGUGGCCUAGUCUAGUCGGCAGCACGGAGAAGGGAGGAGACGGAGAUGGAGGUUGGAGUGGCGACCGGCGGACGCCGGUGGCAUGGUGCUGCCAUUACUGA
rnacentral:rRNA from 1 species